rnacentral:rRNA from 1 species
AGGGUUCGAUUCUGGCUCAGGAUGAACGCUAGCUACAGGCUUAACACAUGCAAGUCGAGGGGCAGCAUGAACUUAGCUUGCUAAGUUUGAUGGCGACCGGCGCACGGGUGAGUAACACGUAUCCAACCUGCCGAUGACUCGGGGAUAGCCUUUCGAAAGAAAGAUUAAUACCCGAUGGCAUAGUUCUUCCGCAUGGUAGAACUAUUAAAGAAUUUCGGUCAUCGAUGGGGAUGCGUUCCAUUAGGUUGUUGGCGGGGUAACGGCCCACCAAGCCUUCGAUGGAUAGGGGUUCUGAGAGGAAGGUCCCCCACAUUGGAACUGAGACACGGUCCAA